rnacentral:rRNA from 1 species
AGAGAGAGACAUGCGCGCAUAUCAAUAAGCGGAGGAAAAGAAACUAACUAGGAUUCCCUCAGUAACGGCGAGUGAAGCGGGAAGAGCUCAAAUUUGAAAUCUUCAAGGUUCUACCUUGACGAAUUGUAGUUUAAAGAAGUGUUUUCUGUUGAGGUUUUGGUAAAAGUUCUUUGGAAUAGGACAUCCAUAGAGGGUGAGAAUCCCGUAUUUGACCAUUACUUUCCAACUUUGUGAUACACUUUCAAAGAGUCGGAUUGUUUGGGAAUGCAGUCCAAAAUGGGUGGCUAAAUUUCAUCUAAAGCUAAAUAUUGGCGAGAGACCGAUAGCGAGCAAGUACGUGAGGGAAAGAUGAAAAGAACUUUGAAAAGAGAGUUAAACAGUACGUGAAAUUGUCAAAAGGGAAGCGUUUGACACCAGUGUUGUUUUCUCGAAAAUCAAUUAAAAAAGGCAGGAUUUUGUGUUGUAUUGACUUUAUCAGCUUUCUGCACUCUUUUCUUGUCUUUUUUAAUGCACUUUUCGUUUAACAAGUCAACAUCAAUUUCUUUUGUUGUAAAAGGGUCAUUGGAAGGUGGCUUUCUUUUCGGAGAAAGUGUUUAUAGCCUUUGGCCUCUGCAAUCGGAGAGAUUGAGGUCUGCAGCGUAGAUCCUUCGGGGUUAGAUACAUUUGUGCUAAGUUAUAGCCUUUCAUAGACAACUUGUUGACUAUGAUCAGUCAUGUAGCUUACUCGCUUAUGCUAUUUUACCUACGCUUAGGAUGUUGAUGUGAUACUGCGAGCA